AAAAGUACCCAGAGAUUCUGAUAUUAUCACAAACGUCCCCUGAAUUUGGGACAAAUAAUCAGAGACUGUAGAGUGAGUUAUGGCGAUGGAAGCAUUAACAAUGCCAUGGAAGCAGCUACUUCUGAAAGCGUUGGAGUCCAAUUCCAACCUCAAGCACUCUUCCUACUUUCAGCUUGCAACAAUCGGAUCUAAUGGCCGGCCUUCCAAUCGCACUGUUGUUUUCAGAGGUUUCCAAGACAACAGUGACAAGAUUCAAAUCAACACUGAUUGCCGAAGUCACAAGAUUGAUGAUCUUAAGUAUUGCCCAUUUGCUGAGAUAUGUUGGUAUUUCACCGACUCUUGGGAGCAAUUCCGAAUCAAUGGAAGAGUUGAUGUCAUUGAUGGGUCAAAUGCCGACCCUGUGAAGCUUAAGGUGCAUAAGCUGCUAAAAGUCUCACAGCCUGUACCAGAGAAGCUCGAAGACUGGAGGUCGGAACUCAACAAAGAGAGAAAGCUUGGUUUGCUAGUUCCCCAAGGUCAAGACUGCAGUACUUGGGGCCUAAUCCAGGUCUUCCUUCUCUAAGUGAACAACCACCCUUGGCGCCCUCUUUAGAUCCUUCUACAGGUCCAGUUGGUGCAUUUUGUCUGCUAGUUCUAGAUGCCGACCAGGUUGAUUACGUAAACUUGAAGAUUAAUGAGAGGCUGAUCUUUACGUCCAGAGAGAAUAUCAACGGAGAGAAGUUUUGGACCUCAGAGAAAAUCAACCCAUAACCUUUUCUUCGUAAUUUAAGAUUUGAAGAUGGCAAAUUAUUUAAUUAUUGAUGAUUGAUUGUGAUGAAAUUUGCUUAUGUAAAAUUGAGCUGAAAAAAGAAAAGAAAAACUCAAUUUCCUGACCUUGUGAAUUGCAUGAAUCUGCAUUCUGCUUCUAAAUCCUUAAAUUUCAUCAUAUUAUAGAUAAGUCUGUGUUUUUUUUUUUUUUUUUUUUUCGUUUUCCCACCUUCCUUAGAUAAGCCUGUGGUUUAGAGGUUGACAAGUGGUAAAUUUAAAAGUGAAAUGGUAUAAUAAUCUUUGGUUCUUCAGUUGGUGUCCUUAUGGAGUAAGGGAGAAGAUUGAGGAAAGAAAGUGAUAGGCUUUUGAAGGGGAUUUUAUUUAGUGGUAACAAAUUUCCUUUAAGCAAAGUUUGGUUAGUCAUUAUUUUGAUUUAGAAGGAUAAUCAUUUCAUUUUACUUUGAAAAAAAAUAAAAUAAAGUGGAGUGUAAGACUACAAAAGUGGAGUGCUAGUAUCACAUUCCUUUAUAAUAUACGUAAAGAUUAAUUUCAACGCAAUAAAUUGUUGCUAUGUUUCCUAUAAAAUUGGCUAAAAUCAACAAUUCUUUUUGAAAUUGUAAGCUGACGAAAGGAACUUAUAUACAUUUAAGAGCUACGAAAUAGUAAAACCCUAAAAAUUAUGCAAGAAUAAUUGCUUGCAUCUUUAUAUUAUGCUGUUAAAUAACAAAUAAACUAAAAACUCAUUUCCUGAAGUUUGUGUAUGCAUUAAUCUUGUGUCUGAAUGUUCAUCAUAUUAUCUGUCAGCGUAAAAAAUAUGUUAUUAUUAGAAUACUGAUGUGCUGAGAAUUGUAACAUUUUCCUUACUUCUAUUUGUUAUACGGCCUUUGAGAUCAAUGCAGUGGGUGAAUGUAAGAUUCUCAUGCCAAAUCAUCUUGCCUAAAUGAGUAUUAUUUCAACUAAUGUCCAGAUAAAACUCCAAAUUUGAAGGAAAACCAAGUGGAGAAACUUCAUACUUUUCUGUUUCUUAACUCAGAUUGUGGAAUGUUCAUUUGAGCAAGAGGCCUUUCCAAGGAAAGGAUUGAACAAUAGUUCUCUUUCAAUUAGAAACAAAAGAGUGGAGCUAGUCUAUAUAUCAUCCCUUUUUUAUGUACUCUAUAUAUGAAGACUAGCAAUAUCUUGAGGGGUGGUUGUACCAGCCUUGUAAAGUAUGGACUCUUUUGUUGUUGGAUGAGCUCUGUAAUUCUUUCCUUAUAUAAAAUCAAUUAUUUUGCGUUGUAGCUGAGUAUUUUAAGGGAGUCCAUAUUUCCAAGUCUCAUGGGAAGCUUGCUGCGAUGCAUUAUACUAUGGAUGAUGUUUGUACUUCAUUAAAUUCAUUGUACUACACCUGAGUUAGUUAGUACUACCUGAGUGUACUAAUGUAUUUGACAUGAGUUCAUGGGAAAUCCUAUUUAUGUUUGUUCAUCUGAGUUAGUAUUACUUGGGGGUAAUAAUGUAUUUGACUUGGGUUCAUGGAAA